GGGAAUAUUGCACAAUGGGGGAAACCCUGAUGCAGCGACGCCGCGUGAGCGAAGAAGUAUUUCGGUAUGUAAAGCUCUAUCAGCAGGGAAGAAAAUGACGGUACCUGACUAAGAAGCUCCGGCUAAAUACGUGCCAGCAGCCGCGGUAAUACGUAUGGAGCAAGCGUUAUCCGGAUUUACUGGGUGUAAAGGGAGCGCAGGCGGCAUGGCAAGUCUGGUGUGAAAGGCCGGGGCUCAACCCCGGGACUGCAUUGGAAACUGCCAGGCUGGAGUGCCGGAGAGGUAAGCGGAAUUCCUAGUGUAGCGGUGAAAUGCGUAGAUAUUAGGAGGAACACCAGUGGCGAAGGCGGCUUACUGGACGGCAACUGACGCUGAGGCUCGAAAGCGUGGGGAGCAAACAG
rnacentral:rRNA from 1 species